rnacentral:rRNA from 1 species
GGGCCCGCACAAGCGGUGGAGUAUGUGGUUUAAUUCGAUGCAACGCGAAGAACCUUACCAGGGUUUGACAUCCUGCGAAUCUCUUGGAAACGAGAGAGUGCCUUCGGGAACGCAGUGACAGGUGGUGCAUGGCUGUCGUCAGCUCGUGUCGUGAGAUGUUGGGUUAAGUCCCGCAACGAGCGCAACCCACGUCUUUAGUUGCCAGCAUUUAGUUGGGCACUCUAGAGAGACUGCCGGUGAUAAACCGGAGGAAGGUGUGGAUGACGUCAAGUCAUCAUGCCCCUUACAUCCUGGGCUACACACGUACUACAAUGGGGCGUACAGAGGGUUGCGAAGCGGCGACGUGGAG